rnacentral:rRNA from 1 species
CCUACGGGAGGCAGCAGUGAGGAAUAUUGGUCAAUGGGCGCGAGCCUGAACCAGCCAAGUAGCGUGAAGGAUGACUGCCCUACGGGUUGUAAACUUCUUUUAUAAAGGAGUAAAGUGAGGCACGUGUGCCUCUUUGUAUGUAUUUUAUGAAUAAGGAUCGGCUAACUCCGUGCCAGCAGCCGCGGUAAGACGGAGGAUCCGAGCGUUAACCGGAUUUAUUGGGUUUAAAGGGAGCGUAGAGGGGUUGUUAAGUCAGUUGUGAAAGUUUGCGGCUCAACCGUAAAAGUGCAAUUGAUACUGGCAGUCUUGAGUGCAGGUGAGGUAAGCGGAAUUCGUGGUGUAGCGGUGAAAUGCUUAGAUAUCACGAAGAACCCCGAUUGCGAAGGCAGCUUGCUGAACUGUGACUGACAUUGAUGCGCGAAAGUGUGGGUAUCAAACAGGAUUAGAUACCCCUGUAGUC